CUUCUAAUGUAUGUUUCUUUUAAAGUCAUGGUUUGAUUUUUGAACCAUUAAGAAUGUUCAAAUGUUUGGAAGGCAGAAAAUAUACUAAAGCAUUAACAGUGACUAUCCCGUCACGCUUUCUUUUCUCUUAGAUUUUUAUGAUCAAAGGAAACACUUUUUAGAAAUGAUCUUUGGCGACCUAUUUCCACUAGGUCGUCGGGAAGGAGAGCCAGGAAGCAGACUGCUGCUACGAAGAUGACGAUGCGUCUGUUUUUGGAUAGCAAAGACCUGAACACAGAGGGUUUGGGGAUGCUGUGCGGAAAGCACACGAAAGGACGAGGCCAGAGUUCCGGGCGGAGAACUGGGAUCGGGCGCCAGGCUCGCACUCUGUGGCCCGCCCAGAAGUGCAAGGAGUGAUGAGAAAAGGGGAUGCUGGUCUGUAGCGGGUACCACGCCAAGUAUACAAGCGGGUACCACGCCAAGGAUACAGCAGAGCCCGACCUCCUCCCGGAAGCUCGUCACACCUCUCUCACAGGCUCCGAGGUGGGCGGGGAGGCGAGCACCGGAAGGGGCGGUGCUUUGGGCGGGGCCUGAGCGGGGCUCUCGCGAGAGCAGUGGAGAGCGGAAGCGCAGUGUGUACAGGAUGCGGUUCCUAGCUGCGUUGCUCCUGCUGAGUGUCGCAGUGGCGGGUAAGGACCCCCCCUCCCCUCCUACCCCACUGUCGUCCCCGGGCCGGUCCCCUUCACUCACCCCUCCAGCCGCCAUCUGCCCCUGCCUUUUCCCUGUCGUGCGGAGCCCUCCGCUUGCUCUCGCUCCCGCUCGCCCUUCCCGAGCUCGCCCCUCGCCCUCGGUGUCCCCAGCGCCCGGAGUGCCCUGCUCUUCUCCCGCCGGCCCCGCCCCCGCCCUCACUGGUUUCCUGUUUCUGUAGCCCAGCCGCCUGCGUCGCCGCCAGUCCCGAAACCAAGUUCCAGCACCGGGCAACGGACGGCUGCGCCUCAGUCACCUGCGGACGGCGGCGCCUGCAGCCCCUCCCCCGCGACCCCGCUGUCUCGUUCGGGAGAUCCGCGGCCUCGGUCGGGGGAGCCACCCGCGGGAGCAGACCGAGGCCCGUCGGAGGCGCGCGGGCAGCCGCCCCCGAAACCACAGCCUCACAAGUCGGAAGCGCAGCAGCCCCCACAGAACCCAAACUCUGACAGUUCGCGAGCUCUGCAGCAGUCCUCCCGGAAGCUAGCGCCCCCCAAGUCCGAGGCGCCGCAGUCUCUGAAGCCAAACCCAGACGGGUCGGAGUUGAAAGAGCAAACCCCCAAGAACGCAGAACCUGGCACGCUAGAGGCCCAGGAGUCCCCAAAACCGGACUCCAGCAGGGCCGAGGCGCCGCAGUCCACUCAACCAGACCCAGACGGGGCGCAGGCGCGGCAGCCGCCCCCAGGACAAGACCCCGGUAGGUCCGAAGAGCCGCAGACCGCAAAACCAAACCCCAGCAAGGUGGACGCGGUGCCGCAGUCCACACAAGAAGGCUCCAAGCGCGUGUCCAACCCCUCCGCUGGCAGCAAGGGCGGCCCGGAGAUUGAAAAAACCCAACUGCCUGAGAAGGGAGAGACCUCGCCCCGCGCGUCCCAGGCUGAAGAGACAGUGGACUCCAACCCCUCUGGUCCCGGGCAGGAGGGAGAAGACAAAUCUGCAGAGACUGUUCAAGAUGUGGACGUCAAGGAGGCGGAAGAAGGCGAUGCAGGGGCGGAGGAGGGAUCGCCUCCUGAAGAAGAGAAAGGAAAGAUGCCAGGGCCUGCCUCCAGUGAAACCCGGGAAGGGACACUUUUGGAUUCCGUGAAUAGUGAGAAGGGCGACCUUUAUAAUACCCCUAGAAGUGCCAGUGCGGAGAGCAGCCACUUCUUCGCGUAUCUGGUGACCGCAGCCAUUCUUGUCGCUGUCCUCUAUAUUGCCUAUCACAACAAGCGGAAGAUUAUUGCUUUUGCCCUGGAAGGAAAAAGAUCCAAGGUCACUCGGCGACCCAAAGCCAGUGACUACCAGCGUUUGAACCUCAAGCUUUGAUUUGUAACUACAAGAACCUUGUCCUCCCUGCUGAUUUGUUUCCGAAUCAAGAAAAAUGAAGAAAAAAGCAAUGUGACCUCGGGGUUUGAUGGCAGAAGUCUGGCAGAG
rnacentral:lncRNA from 1 species